CCGUGUCCCGAGAUACCUCGUAGAGAUACCCGCCCUAAAAAGUGCAGCCAUGUUUGUUUGGGGCCUUAAAGCAGAAAUAAGGAGAAAGCAGAGGGAGCACUGGACAACAGCCAUUUCACAGAGACCAGCAAGCUGCUGGCUUAAGCCACCACUCACUUCGCUUACAGAGAAUCCUGCUUCUGACUGCGUAAACACAAAUGGCUCCGAGGAUAUUUCAUCACCUUCUCUAAGUACUUCACGACGAACUCCUUAUCUGGCUGAAUUGAAACCUAUAUCUCCUUUCAACACGUUGCUCAUUGCAAAGAUCUUCCGAUAACCACGACCAGAGGACAGCAUUUAAAAUGAAACAUAUUGCCAUCUAUGAGGGAUAAAGAAUAAAGAAAAAUAUAUAUAAGACAUUCAUUAGUAGGUUCAUAAUUAAAAAAUAGAGUUAAAGUCUGAACGGUUUGUAGUCAGCAACACUCUGUCUACAUAGAUCUCUUCAGGGAGGAGAUUUAGAAAGGGGAAA